GGAAAGAAAUAUCUAGGAUAAAAUUUCUUUUUUCCUAAUUUUAGAUUUAGGGGCACCUUGAAAUUCAGACUAACUUUGGAAAGCCUCCCUCACCCUUUCUUACCUCCAUCUUGUUGUUAUGGCUGAUAACAGGGUGACUUCAAGUUUUACACCAGAAAGAAUAUUAUUUAGCAGAAAAGGCUGAAAGACCAACCUAUUUUGUUUGAAAGGUGAUUUUGAUAGCUUCCACAACUGCUGAUCAGGUAACAAUGAGUCCAUCUCGAAGAGUUGUGUACAUUGUAAACACCGGCCCCGUGUGAGCUUUUGCCACAAGUCGAAUCAGAAAAUGGUCCUUCCAGACGUAGACAUCUCCGUUUAUGGCACCAGUAAAUGUAAUUUCUGUGGGGUUUCUGGAUGAAGCAGAAGCUAUUUCAGCAUCACGUUUUUCAGGUUGAGGGGCAGCUCUGCUAACUGGUGGCCUGAAACAAACAUUUAAAAAAGACGACAAUCAACACCUUGGAAAGCAAAUCAAAACCUUCAAAACAUAGCAUAUGUUUUGUAUGCAAACAGGAGAUGGCCAGUUGCAACUAUAUGAACUCAAGGCCUGCUUCUUUCUAGAGUUGUACAAUAAACUGACUAAAAUCAUACGCAUUUUGAUGGAAAGAGCAGAAAUAACAUUGAUGUAGAUUUUGUGGAUGAGUGGCAGAUCAGACCACCAUACAGCAAUUUUUUUUUUUAAACCAUAAUGAUUUAAAUCCAUGGGAAAAUCCUUGAAUACUAAAUGAUAGUAAAUUGUUGCUUUCAGAAACGAUCAAAAAGAUUUUCUAUAGCUGUCAGCUGACCUUUCCCCAACCUUGCCUCUUCUGAGAAACUCUGUCACAAAACCUUGACAAGACUUUAUUAAAAUCUUCUCAAAAAUCAUGUUGGAGAUAAAAUUAUUACAUUUUAAAAUGUACAAGUCAUUCAUCCAUGUGAAUUUAACACAGACUAAGGCCAGCAAAGCAUUUUUAUAUAAUUAGUCGCUAAAAGUAGCUAAAAAGACAAAUGCAGAACGCAGACUGAAACAAAAUUUGGCUCGUGCAAAUGGACUUUAAACACAGAUAACCUUCACUGCUACUAUUUGACUUGAUCCUACCAAGAAAAAAAAAAAAAGAGGAGGCACAAACCUAAGAGGAGGGAGCUCAGCCUCCAGAAGUUCAUGACCUCACAAAAUCAAAUGCCUGCUGCACAGGCUCCACUUUAGAUGACGCUUGUGUUAAUUUAAGCGUAAUGAUUCUCCCUUUCUGUUAACAGAAAUACACGAGGGCUAAUUCUAACCCUGUCCACAGCAGAACAGAGCCAUACAAAUUGCACCGGCUUACUGGAGAAUUUAGCCCAUAGAAAUCUGGCCCAGAUUCUUUAUCAGGUUUGAUCAUCUUUUACAUAGAAAAUGGAUCUUGCUAGAAGGCUGGGGCAGAAGUGGUGAUGGCAAAAGAAUAAAAACAGGUAAUAUGGGUAAAUGCUUGCUCUAAAACAUCACUUGAUGGCUGCUGUCAAGAACGCAAAAACCACCCCACUGCAUGCCUUUAACCUCCAAUGGCAGAUUAUGGAGACGGGGUUAAACAACAGUGGGGUUCUGCAAGUGAAAACAAAAUGCCUGGCCUCAGGUUUUUAAUAAACACUCAAAUUUGGAAAGCAUUCCCACAGUUUAAGAUUUC